CACCUGGUUCGCGUGCAGUUUUGUGCUUCACAUUUGACGUGCUCUCGUUUUACUCGGUAUAUCUCUCGUUACCGUAUACAACGGCCGUCGUCAUCGUCGGCGGCGUACAGUAAAGUACAUACAAUACGCAAUAUAUCGUAAUCGCUGUAAACUUGAAAAGAUAGCAAUAAAGUAAAAGCACCAGCUAACUGAAAAAAAAAGAAUUUGUUUUGUCGUCAUCAUUGUGUGUAUCUGUUACAAAAAAAACGUAUAACACAAGAAAGAAAUAAAAAAAAAUACCGAACUCGAUCAGUGCGCUCGCUACAUAACAACAGUUUCCCUGUCGUUUCUUCUUUUUUAUUUGAUUUUUUUUUCGGUGUAUUCCUUCACGUUUUUAUUGUUGCUCUUUACUCCAGUGACUUUCUCGUUUGAAUUGAAUCCGAUUUCGGUUGAUGUAGUAUAUGUAUUUUUUUUUCCUUGAUGAUUUGUGUUUUUGUUGUCGUGUAACAUAUUCUAUUCGUUUUUGUUUCUCUUUCACUCAAUCUCGCCCUCUCUAUCCUACUCUCUGUCGGAAUAUGUGCAAUCAAACUUAAGUUUUCUGUGAAUGGUGCAAUCGAUUAUUAUUUUCCGAGAGGAUAAUAAAAACUGAUAAAGAAAUGUUCCGACAGGGAAAAAGUUACCAAUUGCUUACAAAGAAGAAAAUAAUCACAAAAUCGAACGAACGGCACGACAUGAAGGAUGAGAGGACAGAACAGAAGAAAUGAAAAUAUCAUCAACAGCAACAGCAACAACAGCAGCACCAGCAGCAAGACUAUAGCCGUCGUACAGUUGAAUUAAAGUUACAUACUUUUUUUAUAGCCUGACAUUGAACUGAAUGCGACAGCUCUUCAGCCAACUGAAAAGCCAAUGAAAAAUCUUCGAUUCACGUGUCUUAAACUUACUUUCAGUGUUUUCAUCUUGUUGAAAUGUGAAAAAAAAAGAAAUAUAAAGACCAAACAAACUUGAAACGAAACAGAGAGAAAAAAAAACCAAAUUGAGAUUAUAACAAACAAAUAAAAAUCGAGAAUAAAAAAGGAAUUCCCCGGCGGAAAACGUAAAACAAAUGAACGAAGAAAAGUUAAAUGCUCCAACGGACCAAUCAACAGCCACUUCGACAACAACAACAAACCCAAAUCGAACCGUUGAACAAAACAGUUCGAUUCACUUUUCCUUCCUCAUCAAAGCAUAUAAAAAAUAAAAAUUGUUGAUAGAAUAACAUCGUUGAGAAAACGCAUCGAGAGACCGAUCCGUCGACGACUGGAUUAUGUGUGGCUUCAUCACAGUGAGCACGCAGAUGUAAAAAACAUGAUGUGGUAACAAAAAGCGAGUCAUAAAAUUUUUCCAUGAAAAUUCAACGAAUUUUCCCUUUGAGUCCAAUUUGUUGUAUUUCGUUUUACUUUUUUGUUGUUGCUGCGUUAAAUCAGACAGAGAGUGAACGAAAGUAGAAAAAAUUGAGGAUCUCGAAGAGAGAGAGCCUGAGACUUCAUUAAUCCGGUGGAAAUCACAUGCAAAUAGUUCGCAAUAUUUGUUGAUUUUGUUUUUUUUUUUAAAAAGAUGUGUUUAUAGGAUGUAUUUUUGUUACGAGUGUUUUGCGUUCGGUCCCAUUUUCAGCUGUCCAUCCGCAAUUUUCGCAUUUGUUCCAGCUUAGUUAUUUGAUUUACUUACGGUUCAUGCUUUGUAAUAUGCGAC